rnacentral:ncRNA from 22 species
GAUAGGUCUCUGUCGCUACUGUGAUUGGACACUGACACAGAGUCAACUAGCCUUGGUCGCGCGGUUCUUCGCGCGCGGAACCGGGACGGUCCGAGCCACGAGGGGGGAGGCUCGGACCGUCCGUU